UGCUAGCUUGCUAUAAUUCUCUAGUGGCGCACGGGUGAGUAACACGUGAGUAACCUGCCCCCAAGAGUGGGAUAGCCCCGGGAAACUGGGAUUAAUACCGCAUAAAAUCGCAAGAUUAAAGCAGCAAUGCGCUUGGGGAUGGGCUCGCGUCCUAUUAGUUAGUUGGUGAGGUAACGGCUCACCAAGGCGAUGACGGGUAGCCGGUCUGAGAGGAUGUCCGGCCACACUGGAACUGAGACACGGUCCAGACACCUACGGGUGGCAGCAGUCGAGAAUCAUUCACAAUGGGGGAAACCCUGAUGGUGCGACGCCGCGUGGGGGAAUGAAGGUCUUCGGAUUGUAAACCCCUGUCAUGUGGGAGCAAAUUAAAAAGAUAGUACCACAAGAGGAAGAGACGGCUAACUCUGUGCCAGCAGCCGCGGUAAUACAGAGGUCUCAAGCGUUGUUCGGAAUCACUGGGCGUAAAGCGUGCGUAGGCGGUUUCGUAAGUCGUGUGUGAAAGGCGGGGGCUCAACCCCCGGACUGCACAUGAUACUGCGAGACUAGAGUAAUGGAGGGGGAACCGGAAUUCUCGGUGUAGCAGUGAAAUGCGUAGAUAUCGAGAGGAACACUCGUGGCGAAGGCGGGUUCCUGGACAUUAACUGACGCUGAGGCACGAAGGCCAGGGGAGCGAAAGGGAUUAGAUACCCCUGUAGUCCUGGCAGUAA
rnacentral:rRNA from 1 species